GAUGAACGCUGGCGGCGUGCCUAAUACAUGCAAGUCGAACGGACGGACGAGAAGCUUGCUUCUUUGAUGUUAGCGGCGGGCGGGUGUGUAACGCGUGUAUCACCUACCUAUCUGUCUGGGAUAACUUCGGAAAACCGGAGCUAAUACCGGAUAAUAUUUUGAACCGCAUGGUUCAAAGGUGAAAGACGGUCUUGCUGUCACUUCUAGCUGGUUCCGCGCUGCAUUAGCUAGUUGGUAAGGUAACGGCUUUCCAAGGCAACGCUGCCUGGCCGAACUGAGAGGGUGAUCGGCCACACUGGAACGUAGACACGGUCCAGACUCCUACGGGAGGCAGCAGUCGGGAAUGUUCCGCAAUGGGCGAAAGCCUUACGCAGCAACGCCGCGUGAGUGAUGAAGGUCUUCGGAUCGUAAAGCCCUGUUAUUGGGGAAGAACAGAUGUGGAAUUAAACGUGGACAGCGUGACGGUACCUAAUCAGAAAGCCACGGCUAACUACGUG
rnacentral:rRNA from 1 species